AUACUUACCUGAAAGGAGAUUCCAGGCAGAGGUUUGUGUGGUCCACUCUGCAUGUGCUAGCUCCUAUGAGUUCCCCAAAUAUGAGAAACUCAGCUGCAGAAUCUGUGGUAGUGAGGGACUUCAUUCAUGCUCUUG
rnacentral:snRNA from 1 species